UCUCCCCAGCACCGCGAUGUGGUCUCGCC
rnacentral:sRNA from 1 species